rnacentral:rRNA from 1 species
AUCGCGUCGACGGGUAGCCGGCCUGAGAGGGUGACCGGCCACACUGGGACUGAGACACGGCCCAGACUCCUACGGGAGGCAGCAGUGGGGAAUAUUGCACAAUGGGCGCAAGCCUGAUGCAGCAACGCCGCGUGAGGGAUGACGGCCUUCGGGUUGGUAAACCUCUUUUAGCAGGGAGAAGCGAAAGUGACGGUACCUGCAGAAAAAGCGCCGGCUAACUACGUGCCAGCAGCCGCGGUAAUACGUAGGGCGCAGCGUUAUCCGGAAUUAUUGGGCGUAAGAGCUCGUAGGCGGUUUGUCGCGUCUGCUGUGAAAUCCCGAGGCUCAACCUCGGGUCUGCAGUGGGUACGGGCAGACUAGAGUGCGGUAGGGGAGAUUGGAAUUCCUGGUGUAGCGAGUGGAAUGCGCAGAUAUCAGGAGGAACACCGAUGGCGAAGGCAGAUCUCUGGCCGUACUGACGCUGAGGAGCGAAAGGGUGGGGAGCAAACAGGCUUAGAUACCCUGGUAGUCCACCCCGUAAACGUUGGGAACUAGUUG